rnacentral:rRNA from 1 species
AUUGAACGCUGGCGGCAGGCCUAACACAUGCAAGUCGAACGGUAACAGGAAACGGCUUGCUGUUUCGCUGACGAGUGGCGGACGGGUGAGUAAUGUCUGGGAAACUGCCUGAUGGAGGGGGAUAACUACUGGAAACGGUAGCUAAUACCGCAUAACGUCGCAAGACCAAAGAGGGGGACCUUCGGGCCUCUUGCCAUCGGAUGUGCCCAGAUGGGAUUAGCUAGUAGGUGGGGUAACGGCUCACCUAGGCGACGAUCCCUAGCUGGUCUGAGAGGAUGACCAGCCACACUGGAACUGAGACACGGUCCAGACUCCUACGGGAGGCAGCAGUGGGGAAUAUUGCACAAUGGGCGCAAGCCUGAUGCAGCCAUGCCGCGUGUAUGAAGAAGGCCUUCGGGUUGUAAAGUACUUUCAGCGGGGAGGAAGGGAGUAAAGUUAAUACCUUUGCUCAUUGACGUUACCCGCAGAAGAAGCACCGGCUAACUCCGUG